rnacentral:tRNA from 1 species
GGCGGCGUGGCAGAGUGGUCGAAUGCGCCUCACUGAAAAUGAGGAGCCGAGGCCACCAAUCAAGUGCAAGUCCUCGGCCGCGGGUUCGAAUCCCGCCGUCGCCU